rnacentral:rRNA from 1 species
UACGGGGGGGGCAAGCGUUGUUCGGAAUUACUGGGCGUAAAGGGCUCGUAGGCGGCCAACUAAGUCAGACGUGAAAUCCCUCGGCUUAACCGGGGAACUGCGUCUGAUACUGGUUGGCUUGAGGUUGGGAGAGGGAUGCGGAAUUCCAGGUGUAGCGGUGAAAUGCGUAGAUAUCUGGAGGAACACCGGUGGCGAAGGCGGCAUCCUGGACCGGCACUGACGCUGAGGAGCGAAAGCCAGGGGAGCAAACGGG